GGCUGGUCUCAAACUCCUGACCUUAAGUGAUUCGCCCGCCUGGGGCUCCUAAAGUGUUGGGAUUACUGGCAUGAACUACCGUGCUGGCCUGGAUCUCAGGCUUUGUUGAGCUGUUAACCAAGCUGUCAAUCUCCCACCCUCCUGGUUCCCCAAACUUACACCACCAUGAAAGACCCUCUGACCCCUUCCCUCUUCCCUAGCUGGGCUGGAGCUGGGGGAGGGUGUGCUGGGGCGUCCCACUUCUCAGCUUUGGGCCACGGAUAAGUCAGCUCUGGAAUUCCCCCAAGUAGAAGCAGCCCUGGACUUCCCCAGGGGCAGAGAGGAUGAGGAACAGAAUAUACAUCUUGAGGGGGGUGGGGGUCCCUUAAGCCUUGUUGGGUUGGCACAGAGCCAAGUUCCCAAACCAUCAUGAUCGAGUCCUGGGGCCAGGUGCUGCGCUGGGCCAAGAUACCCUGCCAGGUGGCCGCUAUAACGUUUCCCGUUUUACAGCUGAGAAACUGUAAGAGACGCAAUCUAGCCAAGCAAGGCGGUGGUUCACACCUCUCAUCCCAGCUACUCGGGAGGCUGAGGCAGGAGUUUUGGUGAUGGAAGACAGCCACCAGGAAACCCUGCCGAAAGAAUGGGUCAGAUCAAUAAUCUGAGCGGUCCCAGUCCUCCUCCAAUGGCUGAUGGAUGAGGAAGUCAAAUCUGCUGCUUCAAGGAUCAAAGUCUAUGUCCACUGAGGGUGUUUGGAGAAUGUGUUGCAAUCUCUGAAGGCAAUCCCAAGAGAGGCAUUCCAGAGAGGUUUUCAGCCAGGGGUGGCCCAGCAGGAAGUCACUCUGAAAACUCAGGUUUACACAACAUCUACUUGUACAAUCAAGCACACACUCUCAGGCUGCAUGAAGUACUGUCGCAGACAGGACUGCAAACCCUCUCAGGGGUGAGAAUGGCUGGCAGCAGUGCUCAGGAGAGGGAUGUGGCAGGAGUCAGCUCCUAGGAAGUGCCAGCGCCCACGCACCUGUGAGCUCCUGGAGUCUGACUCACCGGGUAAGUGAAUUCUUGUAAUUUCCACAAACAGCCCUGGGGUUCCCCUAAACCAGACCGUGAGCCUCUUG
rnacentral:lncRNA from 1 species